UGUUGGGCCUUACGCAACACGGCUUUGUGAAACCCGUCAGGUCCGGAAGGAAGCAGCGGUAGCGAAUUCCCAUGGGUGCUGUGAGAUCCCCAACAAUU
rnacentral:SRP_RNA from 1 species